AAGCAGAUAUAAGUAAACAAUAAUGAUAAAAUAACGAUAGUCUUGUCCCUUAGUGUAAUUUCACAUGUUAACGUGAAGAGAAGGACACAAGAAAAGAUGCUUCCGUUUUCUUGGUGAACCCAGUCUGAACACAAGCAGAGAGUGGCAUGUAGGUAAUACACGGCCACAGUCGCGGUUCCUGGGAUCCUUAACUCCUUGCUCAAUUGCUUUCUUAACCUCAUGAAAAUAAAAUCUGGGAGGAAGCAAAUCACUUCUAAACACACACAGAGAAUUCAUCUUCCAUGUGCAGGAGAGAGAAAUCAAAGAACGCCCUGCUGUCCCUUUGCUUUUCGUCAGUUUGAAAAGAAUGUACACAAAAAACAAAUCUGAACAUGCAAAGGGGUUAGCUCAUCAAAAAGGAGAUCAGCAAUGAGAGAGACUCUCUGCGAAGUACAGGGCGGCAGAGGACCGGGGACUCCGCAAAGAGACAGUUUGUCAUGAGGCGGUGCGGAUGGGAGCAAGCAAAUGAGAACACGUUUGCAAAGGGGAAGAUGCCCCGUUCUCUCUGGAUCUGAGCCUGUCGCCUCCCUGCGGCUCAGCCCUCAACAGGAAAUAUCCAAUGCCACGUCCUGGGCGGAAGGGACUUAGAGUUCAGCCGGAUGACGACCUGAGACACCUGCCUUUAGAUGUCAGGUCAGAUGCCGUGGAAAAUUGGAAAAGCCUAUUCUUGCAAAUUCCUAGUCUCCUCCUGAAUCCAAUGGAAAAACAGCAGGCCAAUUUUAAACCUAUGUAUUUCCUAUAGUGGAGGUUUUUUAAAUGUCAGAAUGAAAAUUUGACUUAACUCCAGCACUUGAUGGAAAUAAAAUGAAGUCUGC